rnacentral:sRNA from 1 species
GUGUGCCACCACUCGUACACUGGGGUUCUGAGCGCGCCGUCCGCGCCCACCUGACGGCUGCUCGCUACGCUUUUUUAGCU